rnacentral:rRNA from 1 species
UACGAAGGGGGCUAGCGUUGCUCGGAAUCACUGGGCGUAAAGCGCACGUAGGCGGCUUUUUAAGUCAGGGGUGAAAUCCUGGAGCUCAACUCCAGAACUGCCUUUGAUACUGAGAGGCUCGAGUCCGGGAGAGGUGAGUGGAACUGCGGAGUGUAGAGGUGAAAUUCGUAGAUAUUCGCAAGAACACCAGUGGCGAAGGCGGCUCACUGGACAAGUAUUGACGCUGAGGUGCGAA